rnacentral:piRNA from 1 species
UAAACGUUGAAAGCUUACAAAAAGGGGUCAC